rnacentral:rRNA from 1 species
GCACAAGCGGUGGAGCAUUGUGGUUUAAUUCGAUGAUACGCGAGGAACCUUACCUGGGCUCAAAUGUAUGUUGACGUAUUCUGAAAGGGAUACUUCUUCGGACAAUAUACAAGGUGCUGCAUGGUUGUCGUCAGCUCGUGCCGUGAGGUGUCGGGUUAAGUCCCAUAACGAGCGCAACCCCUAUCAUUAGUUGCCAUCAGGUCAAGCUGGGGACUCUAAUGAAACUGCCUACGCAAGUAGUGAGGAAGGUGGGGAUGACGUCAAAUCAUCAUGCCCCUUAUGACCUGGGCUACAAACGUGAUACAAUGGCUGGAACAAAGGGAUGCGAAGCAGUGAUGUGGAGCGAAACCCAUAAAAACAGUCUCAGUUCGGAUUGAAGUCUGCAACUCGACUUCAUGAAGUCGGAAUCGCUAGUAAUCGCGGAUCAGAACGCCGCGGUGAAUACGUUCUCGGGGUUU